AGCCCUGAAGUAUCAAUACAUUAGAUUGCAAAUCUAAAGAAGCAGGUUAUCGCCGGCCGGGGCUU
rnacentral:tRNA from 1 species